UACAGAGGUCUCAAGCGUUGUUCGGAUUCAUUGGGCGUAAAGAGCGCGUAGGCGGCCCUGUAAGUCCGCUGUGAAAGUCAAGGGCUCAACCCUUGGAUGCCGGUGGAUACUGCAGGGCUAGAGUCCGGAAGAGGCGAGUGGAAUUCCUGGUGUAGCGGUGAAAUGCGCAGAUAUCAGGAGGAACACCGAUGGCGAAGGCAGCUCGCUGGGACGGUACUGACGCUGAGGCGCGAAAGCGUGGGGAGCAAACAGG
rnacentral:rRNA from 1 species